UACGGAGGAUGCAAGCGUUAUCCGGAAUGAUUGGGCGUAAAGCGUCCGUAGGUGGUUUUGUAAGUCUGUGGUUAAAGCGUGUAGCUCAACUACAUAACGGCCAUGGAAACUACAUAACUUGAGUGAAGUAGGGGUAGAGGGAAUUCCCAGUGUAGCGGUGAAAUGCGUAGAGAUUGGGAAGAACACCGGUGGCGAAAGCGCUCUACUGGACUUAUACUGACACUGAGGGACGAAAGCUAGGGGAGCGAAAGGG
rnacentral:rRNA from 1 species